rnacentral:rRNA from 1 species
UACAGAGGGUGCAAGCGUUGUUCGGAAUUACUGGGCGUAAAGCGCACGUAGGCGGACUAUUAAGUCAGGGGUGAAAUCCCGGGGCUCAACCCCGGAACUGCCUUUGAUACUGGUAGUCUCGAGUCCGGAAGAGGUGAGUGGAAUUCCGAGUGUAGAGGUGAAAUUCGUAGAUAUUCGGAGGAACACCAGUGGCGAAGGCGGCUCACUGGUCCGGUACUGACGCUGAGGUGCGAAAGCGUGGGGAGCAAACAGG